rnacentral:sRNA from 1 species
UUUUUUGAUUUUUUUUGU